AGUAAAUUGGCAGGUCUUAAUUUAGUGCAAUAUCUUUUUGCACAGGGAGCAUUAUAAAAGAGAUAGCAAUACAUUUUAGACCUCUAUUUUUAAAUAAGCGAGUU